rnacentral:rRNA from 1 species
UACGGGGGGGGUAAGCGUUGUUCGGAAUUACUGGGCGUAAAGGGCUUGUAGGCGGCCAACUAAGUCAGACGUGAAAUCCCUCAGCUUAACUGGGGAACUGCGUCUGAUACUGGAUGGCUUGAGUUUGGGAGAGGGAUGCGGAAUUCCAGGUGUAGCGGUGAAAUGCGUAGAUAUCUGGAGGAACACCGGUGGCGAAGGCGGCAUCCUGGACCAACACUGACACUGAUGAGCGAAAGCCAGGGGAGCAAACAGG